rfam:Bacillus infantis NRRL B-14911, complete genome.
UCUUACUAAGGGCAAAUUUUACGAAAGUAAAAGACGCAAAGCCACGGGCCUAAAACAAGUUAUUUGUCAUGGCAGCCGGGCCGCCAAG